AAACUUAGGAUAAUUUAGACCAAGAGCCUUCAAAGCCCUCAGUAGAAGUUAAAAUCUUCUAGUUUCUG
rnacentral:tRNA from 1 species